UGGAGAGAAUCGAUGAGAGGGGUAAAAAUUAAGAGACAGGAGAGGAGCAGUGCAUUGACAGAGAGUGCACAUAAGGAUUCAAAUGCAGACUUAAAGAGAAGGGAACUUGCACCACUGACCAGAGCAAGUGAAAGGACAUAAUCCUGUAUGAAGAGGACAAAGGCCGCCGCCUGUAAUCAGCAGCAGCAGGAACACACGGAGGGAAAAGACCAACAUAAGGAGACUGCUGUGCAGUUGGAGAAAGUCUGACUCUCUUUGAUUGGCUGUCUAUACAUAGACCAUCCUUCCAUCUGUCCCAUCAGGAUGGAGAAGGAUAACUCAAAGAGAAACGCUAAAUACUCUCAGGUGUGCUGUUAAAAGAGAGGAGUUGUCUGUGUGUGGGGGGGGAACAGAACAAUAACAUUAGCAAUCUUCUGGAAGGAAUAUGGAGAAAAGGCAGCUGCAUGACUCAUAGCACAGCAGCUAGAAAACUGUGUAUUCUACGUGCAAUAAAAGAGGCAGAGGGAGAUAGAGGAGCAUUGGGAGAGAUACAAAGUGGAAAAUAGAGGUGGACUUUACCACAAUUGAGCAGUAAUUAGCCGGAGGAAGGACGUGAUGCGGACAGAAGCAGUGGGACUGGCAGGCAGUGAGUGAGAUAUAGGCCGAGUGAAUCAGCGCACUACAGGCAGAGGAAGAAGAGGGUGAGUUUAGAAAGUAGAGACUUGGGUAUGACUGAAGACCAUUAAGGGAAGGUUAAAUGAAGGUUUGCUGCAGGGUGGACACAGAAAAACAGAGAACAUAGGGACACACUUAAUGAAAAAGCUGUUUGAGCUACAGCUACAGGAGAGAAAGCCCUGGGUGACUGUAUGCUUCUAUAAAGAAUAAAUAUGAUGGAGGCUUGCACACGUGUUGACAGGACAGAAAGAACAUUGUAGAGAGUUUAAAAAAGAACAGAUUGCACCAAGGGACGGGAUUUAGAGAUGAAGACCGAAUCAAAAAUACAUGCAAGCAGAGAGCAGCAGCUAAAAGAGGAGAAAGAGCAACUGAAAACACCACAGAAAACCACAGACCUUGUCAUCCAACGCACAAAGGGGACACAGGAACUUCAACGGUGACAGCAACACAGCAAGAGGUCGCUGUUAAAUAUUUAUGCUGACAGGCUACUUUUGAAAAAGCCCACUCCUUGCACCAGUGGAAAGCAGGAGGGAAAAAAAACCCUAUCCUUAUUUAAAGCCGUUUUACAUCACUGUUAAAUACUGUCAGCAGACAGUCGAGCAUGGCGAAGCUAAGAUGUUGCUGCAAAUGAGUCUAGACUCUGGUCCCUGUAUGGCUUCUACUGGGGGAGUGGAGUGACUACAGAGAGACCUGGACCUUUAUUUUGUGAGGAAACAUCAAGCAAGAUGGGAAUCGACAUCUGAGUCAUCUCACCAGGACUAGAACACAUUAUUUUUCAUCUAUAAGAAUGGGAGGCAGGUCUUGCCUAUGAAUAUGGAUAUCUUUGACUGCCUGCACUCUUUGAAAACGGCCUCAUUUACAAAACUGUAGCCAGAGGAGGUUUGCUGUCCAGGCUUCAGGAGACACAUGUGAAAUGCUUUGAUGUGCAUCAUCAACACAAAGGAUGUGUUAAUGGAAGGCAAUAUGCAUAUAUUGUUUUUAUGUCUAUGACGACAGCUCAAAAUGCCAUCAUGACACUAAGAUAGAGACCACCUUCUCUCCACGACUUGAAUCACAGAUUCCUCAAAACAUCAAGACAAAUGCGCAGGACGACACAGCGCACACUCUCCAUCCAGCUGCGGACAGACCAGCUGCGUGUCUAGGCGUGAGCGUGUGUGUGUGUGUGUGUGUGUGUGUGGCUGCGUGGGGGUGUGAAGACUGUCGAGGAGCUCAGCUGUGUUAGUCAGCGACGCUUGUGCGAGCUUGUGUGGUGGUGUGUGUGUGUGUGAGUGUGUGUGCCGAGCUUUGAACCCAGCUGUGUCUGAGUGUCUCCUCCAAAACGCUGCUGCUUGGAGCUGUGUGUUUGUGUGUGUGUUUGUGUGUGUGUGUGUGUAGCCUGGAUUCUCCCCACCAGUGACAGAGCUGGACCUGAACAGCAGUGGUGAGAGGGGGGACACGGAGGGGGAGGAGAAUGAGAAGAGGGAGUUGAAGGCAACCAGCAAGACGGAGAAGAAAAAACUGACAACAUGCUUGGAUAAAGGGAAGAGAGAAAGGAGUCUUUGGCUGCCCCCCCUGGUGCAAUGUGUGGCAUCACGCCCUGUGGGGGUGGGGUUCUGUGAUGGUAACCAUGGUCCCGGGCAGCCGCUAUGUCUGCAGCGCUCACGCAAGAGACGACGACCCCGCAAAUGACCGUGAGGAGCGAAUUUUAGCUGUGCUGGGCAUCAUCGGAACCAUCCUCAAUCUCUUAGUGGUCAUAUUUGUCUACAUCUACACCUCCGUCACCUAAGGUUUUCUUGGACAAGAGACAUCGGCGGUGUCACCACUGCCCGCCGUCCUCUUAAAGUAUUUAUAUACAUUUAUAUACUUGGAGGGUUUGAUUAUGCAGAGUAAGUGCUGAGAUGUGAUGACCACUGGCGGUGUGUUCAGCUGGAUAGUGGCCACAUUUAUCUACACCUGCAUCACUGGUGAUCAGUAAAGACAACUCUAUUCCAUUACCUAAAAGCUGCUGCCCAUCAUAGGACAGGAGCCGAAAGAGGAAUCAUCUCCACCUCGCAACACUGUAAAACCACUGUCACGUGUUUCACAACAAUUUCACACAUCCAUGUGAAAAGACGAGUGAGCCCACAUGUAGAGAUCUUGUGUGUCUUUGAUUUGAUUGCGGUACUUUUGAGUGUGCUGCAUCUGCCUUUUUGUCUUAUAACAUGGUUCAUGAUUGACUUUGUGGCAGUGUGAGGUUUGUAUUGGUGUGUGCUCCUCUGUCAGUUAUAAGAUAUAAUCACUGCCAAUUAUAUAUUAUGUAGACAGGGAGUGCUCUUAAUGGACCAAAAAACAACAACACUUGAACAGAGCAUCAUUACGUAUGGACAGAUGAUCGCUCAUUAAGAAUUAUUUCCUGAGUCACGAAAAGGGUUUUACAUGGACCUAAUGUGUCCGUACCGGAGCACACCAGAGGAGAGAUUCCUGGCUUUGCUGGGCGUUAUUGGCAUUGUUCUCAAUCUUCUGCUGCUUCUAUUUGUCUACAUAUACACCUCCAUCUGAUGUGUGCAUGUACAUUGUGUGGUGGGUGUCUGUGCCUGAUAAUAUUGUGAUAUUUUAAUAAUAGUGGAAAGGUGUGAGAUUGAGGAAAUACACAAAAUUCCAAAUCAUUGUGGAAAAGGGGUCUCACUCGCUCGCUCGCUUGCGUGAGAUGUUUGUUUUACCAUAUAUUGCUGCAGUCAAACUGCUAUUUAUCACACUUGACUGCCAUUUUUGCCAUUGAUUCAGGUUGUUCUACAUGUUUACUGACAAUGAAAACACCCAGACAUGAAACACAUCAGUGUUGACAGUUGGUACCAAAGACCAGGACUCCAUUGUCUGGAAUCAUGUUUCUGUGACUGGAUCUACAAUUCAACCACAAGGCAGCAUCAGAGAGGGAAAAACAUGAAACCAAGGCAAUGUCACACAAAUCAAGACAGUGCAAACAUGCAGUGCAACACAAGGGAACGCAAAAGUAACAGAGAAACUGGGACGAACCACUGUGGAUUGUCUGAAAAAAGAGGACACACACGAGGCCUUGCCAUCUGUCUUGACGCUCAAAAACACACAGGAAACUCCCUGGGAUUGGGUUGCAACGUUCCUGCUGGAGCAACAUGUCACUAUGGAUAUGAGUUUAGAUUAAAGCUCUGUGACUCUAAUGAAGGAGCAAACCUAAACAUAGCCGACAAGCGAGUAGGAAUAAGGAUUGGCCUGAAUCUACACUUCAUCCUCAUCAUUCUCUUCUCCACCAACAAGCUGACGCCAGAAAAGACAUAGUACUAGAGGACCCACAUACGUCUCUACUGCAUUCUGCAAAGCACAAUACUUUUAUAUAUGAAAGCAACCAUACUUGUAAAGAAAAAAAAUUAUAAUUAAAGAAAAAGGCUUCAUUACAUACACACAUCAGUCAGAGGUUUUUGAAAAGACACUAAAGGAUGAAUGACUCUGUUUGCUCCCUUACCCUGUCUACAAUUUUACAUGUUGGCUUGUGUGAAUAAGUACUAAGUUUUUAUUCAUCUUUGCAUUAUAAGAUUUCAUGUAAAAGUGUGUAUUUAUGCUCUUAGUUUUAUGAAAUGAGUUAAACAUUGAGUGUUUUGGGUUAGGGUUUUGUUGUGAUUGUGUUUUUGAAUAAGCAAAUGUCACCACUUUGGAAAAUGUAGAAUGAACCUCAACAAAUACCAAUGGUUCUGGAGAUCACAGGUUAUUUUUUACGGAGUGCAGUUUUAGGAAGUUUUGAAGAUGAAUAUUUCCCCUCUUGAUUUCCACAUAUGAACUUGUUGGUUAUCCCAAAGUUUCCUUGUCACAGACGAAAUAGUAACAAAUCCUUGCUAAAAAUUCUCAUUUAAAAACCAACUAUCUGCACUGGUCUCAGUUUUAUAGAAGGAUAUUUACAAUGUUGAAGUAAGUUUUAACUCCAAAAUAAAUUAGAAGCCAAUCUUGCUAUAAAUUGAAGGCUUAAAACACUGCCGUUAGCACUGCCAUCACCUGACAUGCACUGCCUCACUGGAUCAAUUUGUAGCUGUAUUUAGAGACGUCAGCAAUUACAGUGUUAGAACUACUGGAAACAUUGACCUGAGCUAUGGUAAUUAAACCCAGAUCGUAACUAAUAUGUAAUGUGUUAAGCCCCGCAAUCAAGUGUCAACCCUCAAACAGCUCUUUUAAUAAGUGAAAGCCAAAGCGUCGUCACAUUCCAAAAAAUGCCCUUACUUAGACUUUGGUUCUCACAAAACACACACACACACACACACACACACACGCACACACACACACACACAGUAAGCCUGCUGAGAUUGAUGCCACUCACACAUCCACUUCCCUGUCACAUCUAAGAAUUGUACAGUGACGUUUGUUGAGCUAAAUUCAUCGUGCACACCAAGAAGCAGAGUUCACACCACCGUUGUUUCCCUGGACAUCUGCUGUCUGACUCUGCCGCAGCUGUGAAGUAUCACAAUAUAAUUAUGCCUACUUUGUGCUGCACCUAAAUCUCACAUGAUAUUAUCAAACAAGUAAGCUCACUGAUUCAGCUCAGGUUCAUUCAGAUACUGGUAAUGGUGCCACUUGGUAACAAGGCAUAUUUCAAUAAAGGCCACUAGUAAAAGUCAUCUCUUUUUAGACUGAAACAUAGAUUUUCUACAAAUAUUAAAUGCACAGGUUAAAAUAAAAUGUUAAUAUGGGCAGUGAGCUAUAUGAGAUUAUACAGUAUAUAUAUAAAAAAAAUAUAUAUAAAUAAACUCACAAAAAUCAUUGCAGGUUUAUAAGCAUCCUUGUGAUAUUCUGUAGCCACGUGCUAUAAUAAGAAACAUUUUUCAUGUCAGCAAUCAAGAGAAUGCAGGUAUUAGACAGAUCAACGAGUUAUAUUAUCUACUGCGUAUUCUGCAGUUCAAGGUUUUGGUUAAGAAUAUGACAGGCAGCCAGCCAUGCCGAGACAAAUUCUCAUAUUUGUUCACGACUUGUGAAUUUAAUUAAUUUUUAGCCUGAGAGGCCAUGCUGGAUGCAGACAGUCACUUUUCAUUUAACAGUGUACUAACAUUCAAGGAAUAAUAUAGUGCUAAUCAUGCAAACUCCUUUUAGCAGGGAAAGUUAUACUAUCAAAGGAGAAAACUUCCAUCCUAAUUGUGUUCCAGUUCCCGAGAGUAACUAUUGAACAAAUGCUGUACUUUUCAUUUUAUGAUAAUAUGAUGUAAAUAUCGUAAUGUCAAUAAAACACAAAACACCACUUCUAGAGCUUUA